ACCUACGGGAGGCAGCAGUGAGGAAUAUUGGUCAAUGGGCUUACGCCUGAACCAGCCAAGUCGCGUGAGGGAAGACUGCCCUAUGGGUUGUAAACCUCUUUUGUCAGGGAGCAAUUGGCGCUACGUGUAGCGUUAUCGAGAGUACCUGAAGAAAAAGCAUCGGCUAACUCCGUGCCAGCAGCCGCGGUAAUACGGAGGAUGCGAGCGUUAUCCGGAUUUAUUGGGUUUAAAGGGUGCGUAGGCGGUCCGUUAAGUCAGCGGUAAAAUUGCGGGGCUCAACCCUGUCGAGCCGUUGAAACUGGCAG
rnacentral:rRNA from 1 species